GACGAACGCUGGCGGCGUGCUUAACACAUGCAAGUCGAACGGAAAGGCCCUGCUUUUGUGGGGUGCUCGAGUGGCGAACGGGUGAGUAACACGUGAGUAACCUGCCCUUGACUUUGGGAUAACUUCAGGAAACUGGGGCUAAUACCGUAUAGGAGCUCCUGCUGCAUGGUGGGGGUUGGAAAGUUUCGGCGGUUGGGGAUGGACUCGCGGCUUAUCAGCUUGUUGGUGGGGUAGGGGCUUACCAAGGCUUUGACGGGUAGCCGGCCUGAGAGGGUGAACGGCCACAUUGGGACUGAGAUACGGCCCAGACUCGUACGGGAGGCAGCAGUGGGGAAUAUUGCACAAUGGGCGGAAGCCUGAUGCAGCAACGCCGCGUGCGGGAUGACGGCCUUCGGGUUGUAAACCGCUUCCGCCUGUGACGAAGCGUGAGUGACGGUAAUGGGUAAAGAAGCACCGGCUAACUACGUG
rnacentral:rRNA from 1 species